AUGUCUGCUGAAAGAAAACUUGUUGACAGUGGAAAUGAUCUGGGAAGAAUUGUGCCACGUUUCAACAAGCACCAAGGGCAGCUUCCAAAAUGCAUCUUCACCAUCACCUUAAAUAAGACUGCAUCACUGAAUGCUGACUGUGUCCACUCAGAGGUCCAGCUGGUGGAGUCCGGAGGAGAUGUGAAAAGGCCCGGAGAUUCUCUCCGCCUCUCCUGCCAAGCUUCUGGGUUCACCUUUAACAGCUACUACAUGGGCUGGGUGAGACAAGCUCCUGCAAAGGGCCUGGAGUUUGUUGCAACUAUGCACCCACCUGUUUCAAGUGAUAUUUUCUACUCCGACAAAGUGAGGGGCCACUUCACCAUUUCCAGGGACAACACAAAGAGCCAACUGUAUCAGCAAAUGAGCAACCUGCAAGCUGCAGACAUGGGAAUCUACUAUUGUGCAAGAGACGCAGCAAGGGAAGUGACUCAGAAGUGA